AUUGAACGCUGGCGGCAGGCCUAACACAUGCAAGUCGAGCGGAUGAAGGGAGCUUGCUCCUGGAUUCAGCGGCGGACGGGUGAGUAAUGCCUAGGAAUCUGCCUGGUAGUGGGGGAUAACGUCCGGAAACGGGCGCUAAUACCGCAUACGUCCUGAGGGAGAAAGUGGGGGAUCUUCGGACCUCACGCUAUCAGAUGAGCCUAGGUCGGAUUAGCUAGUUGGUGGGGUAAAGGUCUACCAAGGCGACGAUCCGUAACUGGUCUGAGAGGAUGAUCAGUCACACUGGGACCUGAAAACCGUCCCAGAUCCUAACGGGGGCAAGCGGUGGGAAAUAUGGGCAAUGGGGCGAAACCCUAUUCAAGCCAGGCCGGGUGUGUGAAGAAGGUCUUCGAAUGUUAAAGCCCUUUAGGUGGGAGGAAGGGCAGUAAGUUAAUACCUUGCUGUUUUGACGUUACCAACAGAAUAAGCACCGGCUAACUUCGUG
rnacentral:rRNA from 1 species